GGGCCGCUAGCUCAUCAGGCAGAGCACCGCCCUUUUAAGGCGGGCGUAGGGAGUUCGAGUCUCCCGCGGCCUA
rfam:Candidatus Omnitrophica bacterium CG1_02_41_171 cg1_0.2_scaffold_1787_c, whole genome shotgun sequence.